CUGUUUUUUGUUUUUCCACUUUUGUACAAGUAUUUCUGCUACAAUCUGUAGAUCUGUACAGUACAUAAGUUAUUCAUAUCAUCCAAAUACAACCCAAAAGAAGUAUAUACAGAACUUGCAAUGAUGUUUGAUCGGUUGAGUCUUCAGGGCAGGUGAUGACACAGGAAUGAGGCAUAAAAGGAGACUCCAUCAGUGAUUUAAUACAGCGAACAUCUUCCCACAAGAAAACCCUAUGAUGCUUCAUGUCAAUAUAAUAUAUUAGUACCAACAGUCUUUGAUAUGAAUAUUUGAGCUGAAACACCACAGAUAUAACCUUCAAAAGCCCUCUUCCCAUCCUAUUUAACAGCUGC
rnacentral:lncRNA from 1 species